rnacentral:rRNA from 1 species
UAGACGAUNAAGACCCUAUCAAACUUUACUUUAGUUUAACUGGGGCAGUUAAUUAAUAAAAAUUUUAAUAAAGAUUAAGUACUAAAUAGANNNCCCAACANUAGUUGAUUACANUGAACAAGUUACUGUAGGGAUAACAGCGUAAUAUAUAUCUAAAGUUCUUAUUUUGAUAUAAGUUUGCGACCUCGAUGUUGAAUUNAUAUUACUUUCAAGCGCAAGAGCCUGAAAAGUGGGUCUGUUCGACCCCUAAAUAUAUACAUGAUUUGAGUUCAAAUCGGUGUAAACCAGAUUGGUUUCUAUCUAUUNUUAUUUGUGUCUUAGUACGAAAGGACCUGAAACAAUAUUAUAUAAUNAUUUAUAUGGCAGAAAAAUGCUUUAGAUUUAGGAUCUAAUUAUAAUAGAUCAUUAUACUCUAUUUAACCUGCCUAAUCUCUGUUAUUAGAAUCCUUAUCGCAGUAGCUUUUUAUACCCUCCUAGAGCGAAAAAUUCUAAGCUACAUCC